CGGGACGGGUGAGUGAUGUCUGGGAAACUGCCUGAUGGAGGGGGAUAACUACUGGAAACGGUAGCUAAUACCGCAUAACGUCGCAAGACCAAAGAGGGGGACCUUCGGGCCUCUUGCCAUCGGAUGUGCCCAGAUGGGAUUAGCUAGUAGGUGGGGUAAAGGCUCACCUAGGCGACGAUCCCUAGCUGGUCUGAGAGGAUGACCAGCCACACUGGAACUGAGACACGGUCCAG
rnacentral:rRNA from 1 species